CCAACCAAUGAAAAUUCCUUGGCCCGAUUCUCUUCAAAUGGGGCAGCCCAUUUUGGUCCAAACAAUAAAAAAGUAGUCCAUCUUAUUAAAUUCCAGCCCGGCUCUUGGACUCAAAUAAAAUGGGUACACUACUUAUUUAAUUCCUUUAGCCCAAACUUAUCACAAUAAAAACUCUUGGCCCCAAUUCGAAAGCCCAAUCUAAUUGUUGGUGGCCCAAUGAUUUCUCCUUUACUAUUUCCAUCGUAUCCUACUCCCUCUCUCUCUCAACUUAAAUCAAAACCCCCAAAAUCAGAGACUCCAUUUCUCUCCCUCUCUUCACUGUCCGUCCGCCGUCAAUCGGGUCACUGGAGCUUCGCCGGUGUCCUCUGUUAUCGGCGCAUUCUCCAGCCGGCGACUGCUCUUCCUCCGCAGCUCUCUCUACUUUGCACCUCUUCGGCCGGCGCCGCCGUCAGCAGCCCCUCCGUCGCCCGGGUCUCUCCACCGCUGACUGACUACACAGUUCAUCUUCACUGAUCGAAGCUUCCAUGGCGCUGCCUCUGUCAGGUUCGGGCGAGAGAGACCCUUCUCGGCCUCUGCCCCUGCCGAUACCUCGCCCAAGCAGCUACUGCCCAUCGCUGCCUGUGGAGCUCGCACGGCUGUAUUGGAAGCCCCGUCGUCACCCCGUCAUUCCUAGAAAUCAUCUACGCACUAAGCUAAGCCCUCUAACUCCCAUCAUCUAUUUCAUUAUGUUGAGUUCCUUUCUGGCAGUAGCUUUGUGGUAAGGAAGUUCUUGACUAUGGGGUACUAAAGCUUUGAUCUUUCUUAGGCAGUAGCCAUGAUAAACUGUUACUGAUCUUGGGCUAAAGCAGCUUAUGAUAUUUCUUGUUCCAAAUUGCGUGAUGUGGAAAUCCUAAAGCUCUAAAUUCUUGAGCGUUAAACAUGAUUUUCUAUACUUGCUACUGUUACAAGGUUUCUUUUGCCAUGAUUCUAUGUUCUUGAGCCUAGCAUGAUGUCUUGAAACAAAAGCAGAGGUGUGCUAGUGUUUUACUUCAUUCUCGGUGACUCCUUCAAACGCCGGACUGCCCUUAAGCUCGCCGCCACUCCUUCCUCUCUUGCUGCACUUCUUGUGAUUUGUGAAUGUUGAGAGGUGUGAGGAAGGAGAUGGUGGAGGGGGCUGGUAUUUAUAGCCAAAACUCCUUGGCAUUUUGUGUCUAAUUUGGGUUAAAGAUUCUCUCUUCGUUUUUAUUUUGGGCUUAAAGCUUCACUACUAAAUUGGUGUAAGGCAUUGGAGAGCUCCAAUUUCUAUUUUGAGCUAACAACUAACCUCUCUUUUUGAGCUUUGUGACUGAGCCCCUUUACUUAAUUGGUCUAACAUUUGGGGCUGUUCUUAGGCUGGAUUCUCGGCCUUGGUGUUAGGAAGGAGUAUCUGACCCAUGUUCCUUUUGAGCAUGUUCAAUGAGCUCAUUUUACUAUGCUCAUUUGUCUUAGCUUCCAUUUUGGUGUAAGAUGGGAAUGUGACAAAAUGGCUGCCUCUCUGCCCAAGGAGGCAGCCUCUCGGCUGUACAAUUCAGCCUGCUUCCUCUCCAUGCUUAUUCGAGCUUGCCCUUCCCUAUCACUUUUCUAUGAGAUCAUCUUCUAACCCCACUUUGUGUUAACUUUGCAGGUUUAGGGGGCUACCCCUUUUUGGAGUUUUGGUGGAGGUGGAAAUCUAGAAAGAUAAAGGAAGAGAAGAGAAGGGAUUUACUACAUCACUCACUUUGUCUUAUUGCUAAGUUUAGCAAUUGUUUAAGCAUUAGGUUGGGAAUAGCUCUUGACCAAGUCUUAAUUAAGCCUCUAGCUUGAUGUUGGCUCCUUUCAAAGCUUAGAGUAUGAUUAGUUGUUAUUUUGUUCUCAUUGUAGCAAGGGUCCAAAAAAUGUAUCACCAUCUUGUAUUUUCUAUUUUUCCAACAAUUGUAAUUUCAAAACUUAAAUUUCCUUGCACUUUAAUUUCCAA